rnacentral:rRNA from 1 species
GUGUCAGCCAUGGGAGGACGCUUCCAGACGUCUCAACCCGCACUGUUGGUAGAUGCGGGCUAGUCUUAGGCUGGUUUACUUGAAAGAGUAGAGGAAAGGCUGAAGACGGGGAAGGGAACCCUUCGGGGUGAACGAACUGAGACAGAUGGGGGCCGAGAAAAGCCCCGCAGCGUUAAUGACACGUACUGACCGUACUGUAAACCGACACAGGUGGGUGAGUCGAGGAGACUCAGGCGUUCGAGAGAACUCUCGUUAAGGAACUAGGCAAAUGAGCCCCGUAACUUCGGGAUAAGGGGCGCCAGCGCAAGCUGGCCGCAGCUAAGCAGCCCAGGCGACUGUUUACCAAAAACACAGGUCUCUGCUAACGCGAAAGCGGAUGUAUAGGGGCUGACGCCUGCCCAAUGCCAGUAGGUUAACAGGAGAUGUCAGGAGCAAUCCGAAGCAUUGAAUCGAAGCCCUGGUGAAUGGCGGCCGUAACUCUAACGGUCCUAAGGUAGCGAAAUUCCUUGUCGGCUAAAUACCGACCCGCAUGAAAGGCGUAACGACUUGGGCACUGUCUCAACGAGAAGCUCGGUGAAAAUGUAGCACCCGUGAAGAUGCGGGUUACGCGCAGUAGGACGGAAAGACCCCAUGGAGCUUUACUACACCCUGUCAUUGCGAAUUGGGUGUGGAUGUAGAGAGUAGGUGGGAGCUUAGGCAUCAAUGGAACACCACCCUUUUACAUCUGGUUCGCUAACUGUCACCCUAAUCUGGUGCCAAGACAAUGACAGGCGGGUAGUUUGACUGGGGCGGUCGCCUCCCAAAAUGUAACGGAGGCGUCUAAAGGUGCACUCAGGCUGGUUGGAAAUCAGCCGUCGAGCAUAUAGGUAUAGAGUGCGCUUGACUGCGAGACACACAGGUCGAGCAGGGACGAAAGUCGAGCUAAGUGACCCUCUGAUGGUGCGUGGGCACGUCAGGGUUCAUCGGAUAUAAGCUACCCUGGGGAUAACAGGCUGAUCUUGCCCGAGCGCUCACAGCGACGGCAUGGUUUGGCACCUCGAUGUCGGCUCGUCUCAUCCUGGGGCUGUACACGGUCCCAAGGGUUCCGGAGUUCACGGAUUAAAGAGGCACGCGAGCUGGGUUCAGAACGGCGUGAGCCAGUUCGGUCCCUAUCCACUGUGCGCGUAGGAAAUUUGAGAAGAUUCGCUCCUAGUACGAGAGGACCGGAGCGAACCGACCUCUGGUGUACCUGUUGUGCCGCCAGGCGCAGACGCAGGGUAGCCACGUCGGGCAGGGAUAAGCGCUGAAAGCAUCUAAGCGCCAAGCCCACUUCAAGAUUAGAUUUCCCAUCGAAAGAGUAAGACCUCCGGAAGACUACCGGGUUGAUAGGUCGCAGGUGUGAGUGCAGCAAUGCAUUAAGCUGAGCGAUACUAAUUGGUCGAGGGCCAA